rnacentral:rRNA from 1 species
AUUGAACGCUGGCGGCAGGCCUAACACAUGCAAGUCGAGCGGAUGAAGGGAGCUUGCUCCUGGAUUCAGCGGCGGACGGGUGAGUAAUGCCUAGGAAUCUGCCUGGUAGUGGGGGAUAACGUCCGGAAACGGGCGCUAAUACCGCAUACGUCCUGAGGGGGAAAGUAGGGGAUCUUCGGACCUCACGCUAUCAGAUGAGCCUAGGUCGGAUUAGCUAGUUGGUGGGGUAAAGGCCUACCAAGGCGACGAUCCGUAACUGGUCUGAGAGGAUGAUCAGUCACACUGGAACUGAGACACGGUCCAGACUCCUACGGGAGGCAGCAGUGGGGAAUAUUGGACAAUGGGCGAAAGCCUGAUCCAGCCAUGCCGCGUGUGUGAAGAAGGUCUUCGGAUUGUAAAGCACUUUAAGUUGGGAGGAAGGGCAGUAAGUUAAUACCUUGCUGUUUUGACGUUACCAACAGAAUAAGCACCGGCUAACUUCGUG